UUUAUUUCCACAAAUUAGACAGUGCUGCGGGAUUAAAAUGGGAACAUUUAUAAAAAUUAAUAAAUUGAAUAAUAGUUCCAAGUGGUUUACAUUUGGACAAAAAAUUAGACCGUAGUUUCAAGCUGC
rnacentral:sRNA from 18 species